rnacentral:lncRNA from 10 species
AAGAUGAUUACAAAGGGGAGCUCCACAAUCAGGUAGAGUCAGAUGAUUAUAAGUCCCUGGAAUGAUGAUGCCACAAGAUGGAAGGAGUCUAGCUACAUGAUUCAUUGCAUGGGUAAAAUUUCUAAAGACACAAGGGUGUUCCAAGAUAAUGAAUACUUCCAUAGCAACAAAAGUCUGACAAUAAACGGUUACCUUGAUUUUCACAUUUUCAAAGAAAAAUCCCUCAAUGGCAACUAGACCAGAAGUCUCAACACUGAAUAUGCAAUAAUGGCUACAAGGUACAGGAUAUCAAAGUGGAGUGUGAACCAGCCAGGAGGAGAACGAAUAACACCCAAAGACAAAAAAGGACUUGUUGUCUUUUCUGGGGAAAGGGUGAAGAAAGGAACAAGGUGUUCAGCUAAUAACGUGGUUUGGGAAGGGAGUUUGAAAAGAGAAGAUAAAGAAAUACUCAUCUAGGAGAGUAGGAGUGUGGAUGGACUAGAAAAAAGGAAAAGAAAUUCUUGGUCCCCAACAUGGAAAUCCAAGAUGCAAGGAAAUCAUAGGCUCUGGAUCACCUGGGGAAGAAACCGCUGCAGACCAAAUUGCAUCUUAGAUCCAUUAAAUCAGAAACUUGGAUUGCUGGAUUCAGGUACAAGUAUUUUUAAAGCUCCCUAAGUGAUUAUAAUGUAUAGCCAAAGUUGAGAACUACUGCUUUGGAGCCACUGGUCUAAUGGAACAAAUUGCAUUGAUUUACUUCCCUUAAUAUUACUAUGUAUAACUAACUAAAUAAGAUGUAUUAUUUUAUGUUUCUUCUUAAUAUUGGCAUAAACCAAUAAAUUAGUGUAUGUAUGUUUCAUUGUUAGAAG